UACAGAGGGGGCAAGCGUUGUUCGGAAUUACUGGGCGUAAAGCGCACGUAGGCGGAUUGUUAAGUCAGAGGUGAAAUCCCGGAGCUCAACUUCGGAACUGCCUUUGAUACUGGCAAUCUAGAGUCCGGAAGAGGUUAGUGGAAUUCCCAGUGUAGAGGUGAAAUUCGUAGAUAUUGGGAAGAACACCAGUGGCGAAGGCGGCUAACUGGUCCGGUACUGACGCUGAGGUGCGAAAGCGUGGGGAGCAAACAGG
rnacentral:rRNA from 1 species